GUCACUUUCCGGCCCACAAGCAUAAACGCCACCGGCAACGGGAGUUCCCAAAAUCGAAACAAAUGUUGGAAGAUAUUUUUAAGUUUCCACAUCUUUCUUACUUUUCUAUAUGAAAAUAAAAUUGGACUACACCAACAAAGGUUAUGUGUUUUGCACCAGAUUGAAAGCAUCAUAGCGAAAAACGGACCUGUCAUUUCUUUAAAUUUCCAAAAGAGCCCCUGGAAAAAGAAAAAUUAAUAUCUCUGCUAAGGAAUACUAAGGCAAAUGGAUAAAAAACCUUCAGUCCAUGCAUUGGUAUGUAAUUAAUAUAAUAUUGACAAAAAUACAAUGAAUGGCCUCACUACUUUUCCACAUGCAAAGAGGUUAACCAAGGAGAAAUUAAAGAAAUUGUCAGAAACCUAGGUAGGUCUAUACUUCCAACUUAUCUUUAUUUAUUCCGAAGCUUGAUUUUUUUCAAGGUAAACAGAAUUGCUUAGUACAAAGU